rnacentral:rRNA from 1 species
AUUGAACGCUGGCGGCAGGCCUAACACAUGCAAGUCGAGCGAGCGGCGGACGGGUGAGUAAUGUAUGGGGACUGCCCGAUAGAGGGGGAUAACGACUGGAAACGGUGGCUAAUACCGCAUACUAUCGGAUAACCCAUAUGGGAUUAGCUAGUAGGUGGGGUAAAGGCCUGCCUAGGCGACAAUCUCUAGCUGGUCUGUGAUGAUGAUCAGCCGCAGUGGGACUGUGACACACCCCAGACUCCUUCGGAGGCAGCACUGGGGAAUCUUGCACGGUUGGCGCAAGCCUAAUGCAACCAUGCCGCGUGUAUGAGGAGGUCCUUAGGGUGGUAAAGUACUUUCAGCGGGGAGGCGUUACCCGCAGAAGAAGCACCGGCUAACUCCGUGCCAGCCGCCGCGGUAAUAC